rnacentral:rRNA from 1 species
CACUCCUACGGGAGGCAGCAGUGGGGAAUUUUGGACAAUGGGCGAAAGCCUGAUCCAGCAAUGCCGCGUGAGUGAAGAAGGCCUUCGGGUUGUAAAGCUCUUUUGUCAGGGAAGAAACGGUGAGAGCUAAUAUCUUUUGCUAAUGACGGUACCUGAAGAAUAAGCACCGGCUAACUACGUGCCAGCAGCCGCGGUAAUACGUAGGGUGCAAGCGUUAAUCGGAAUUACUGGGCGUAAAGCGUGCGCAGGCGGUUUUGUAAGUCUGAUGUGAAAUCCCCGGGCUCAACCUGGGAAUUGCAUUGGGGACUGCAAGGCUAGAAUCUGGCAGAGGGGGGUAGAAUUCCACGUGUAGCAGUGAAAUGCGUAGAUAUGUGGAGGAACACCGAUGGCGAAGGCAGCCCCCUGGGUCAAGAUUGACGCUCAUGCACGAAAGCGUGGGGAGCAAACAGGAUUAGAAACCCCGGUAGUCCCAUGA